rnacentral:lncRNA from 1 species
CUGCAUAAACAUACUGAUGUGAGUUGUUGCACCAGAAUCUAUCCACCAUGUAUGUCUAGGUACCGAAGUUAAAUUAACCUCAGAACAAACCAAAUGAAGAAGAGUACAUUUCUUUACACGCCAUGCGUGGUAAUUGGUGCAAUUCUUCUUCUUAUGACCUGCAGCUCCACAGAAGAAACAACCGCCUUCAGUUGGUUCCUUAUGUUGUUUCUUUUGCGGUGCCGUACCUGCAGCUUCCUUAUUAAUCUUCCUUU